rnacentral:rRNA from 1 species
AUUGAACGCUGGCGGCAGGCCUAACACAUGCAAGUCGAGCGGAUGAAGGGAGCUUGCUCCUGGAUUCAGCGGCGGACGGGUGAGUAAUGCCUAGGAAUCUGCCUGGUAGUGGGGGAUAACGUCCGGAAACGGGCGCUAAUACCGCAUACGUCCUGAGGGAGAAAGUGGGGGAUCUUCGGACCUCACGCUAUCAGAUGAGCCUAGGUCGGAUUAGCUAGUUGGUGGGGUAAAGGCCUACCAAGGCGACGAUCCGUAACUGGUCUGAGAGGAUGAUCAGUCACACUGGAACUGAGACACGGUCCAGACUCCUACGGGAGGCAGCAGUGGGGAAUAUUGGACACAGGGCGAAAGCCUGAUCCAGCCAUGCCGCGUGUGUGAAGAAGGUCUUCGGAUUGUAAAGCGCUUUAAGUUGGGAGGAAGGGCAGUAAGUUAAUACCUUGCUGUUUUGACGUUACCAACAGAAUAAGCACCGGCUAACUUCGUG